rnacentral:rRNA from 1 species
AUGAGCGGAGGUGCGUCGGCGGCUGCCAACGCCGUCCUGGAAGAAUUCUUCGAUCAACUAGAUCUGAACGACGAGGAGUUCCAUGAUGUUGAGAUUGAUGAAGAGGAUCCCGAAAUCAAAGAGUGCGUACGGUGGCUAGCCCUUUCUAGGGUUCACACCGACAAGAAUUUCUCACCGGCAGCCUUCUAUAAGGAUAUGAGGGCAGCCUGGAACCCAGCACAACGGGUAAGAUUUCGCCCGGUCGGACCUAACAGAUUCGUUGUCCAAGCCUCUUGCCUGGGCGACUGGGAGAGGAUGAUGAUGCAGGGCCCUUGGCUCUUCCGCAACAUGGCGGUUCUGAUGUGCCCAUAUGAUGGCUUCACAAAGGCGGACGAUGUGGUGUGUGAUCAUAUGCCCAUCUGGCUA